GCUCAUGGCUUUCACUGGUAUUGGUUUAUUUCUGUCUGGACUCAUAGGAUUCAUCUGUCUGUGCCGCUUUACCAGUUCUGCUGAUGUUCUCACAGAACUGAACUACAUCUCCUGCCAGAUGGAAACAACAUCUCUUUUAACUUCCUCUGUGUGCUCCUCAAAACAUGAAUGACUUGUUUACUUUCUUCACUUGUUGCCUUUAAACACAAAAAAUGAUAUGUACAGAAAGAUAAUACAGUAUUUAGCUACUGAAUUUAUAUACUGAUCAGCAGACCACACAGAAUCUGUGGAGCUUUUUUUCCCCACAUUUUGAUUUUGGGAGAAAAUAGAUUUUUUUUUAUGGGUAAAAUGUGUUAAAUGUAGGUGAAAGUCAUCUGUGGAGUUAAGAUGCAGAUUCAUUACAAGAUCAGAGAUCGGUACAGAUCUGAGGCUUAAGAAAUAUAAAAUCUAAUUUAUGUCAUUUUUUUGUAUUUUAUUUUUUUAUCAACAAUUGUAACAUAUACAUGUACAAGAGUACAUGUAUAAUAAAGUUGCAGCAUGGUAUAAACAAUUUCAUAAAAUUUGCAUAAUGCCUUUAAUUUGUAAUAUUUUCAGUUUCAGUUGUCUGAUCAAAGAGCAACUGACCGCUUGACAUUGUCUGCAUGUUUUAUGCAUUAAUGAGCAAACGUGUACCUAAUAAAGAGACUACAAGGUGAAUAAUGUAUUCCACAUUCUUAAUUUUGUUAUUAUGAUCUUAUGUUUUUCAAGUGUAUUAAUGGUACAGAUGUUUUUGGCACAUUUAUGUGUUACUUUUACAAAACUACCUUCCUUCUUUUAGUCUUUGCCCCAGAUCUGUCGUCUGUUAAAGUGAAUAUAGCUGUACAUGUGGUCUCACGAUCUGUGUUCAUCUUCAUAACUGGCUGUUCAAUGCAUUAAUAGUUUGUGGUCUGAUGUUCCACUUCCUUAUUCACCCAUUAUUAGAGUCUCAUUCUGUAUCUUCUCUCACACUCGCUGUUAUGGAGCUGUUCAUCUUCAUAGUUUUUCAGCUCCUGAUGGAGGUUCAGUCUCACCGAUAUCCUAGAGUAAAAGUAUCUCCAGAUGUCAUAAGAGAGUCCAGCUCAGUGAAGAUCAGCUGUGAGACAGAACCACGUGUUACAGUGAAUAAAUGUGAUUUCUACAUAAACAGAGAGGAGAAGAAAAUGAAAACCAGUCCAUCAUGUGAGCUCGAGCUCACUGGUGCUGAAGUGUUCAGAUGGGCAGCUGUAAAAUCACCUGAAUCACUCAACAUUAUCUGUUACUACACAAUGAUAAAUGUGCAAGGCUCAUUCGUACCAUCAUCUGAUUCUGAUCCUGCCACAGUGACAGUUCUAGUUUCAACAUCAACCACCACUGAAAAUAUGACCGCAACAACCAUGAAAACCUGUGAGUAAUUGAGUCUGUGAAUCAGUUAUUCUUAUCGCAUUUUGAAUGUCCUCAAAAUGACAAUCGCUCUCUCCAGCUCAUGAUUUGUCUAUAAUUGUCAUUUUCUAUAAUGUACAUCACCACACAUUUCACAAUGUUUUCUCAUCAGCAUUAACUGUAAUGUCCACUUCUGAAACCACAACAUACAGUAAAACCGGUAAGUUGCUAAUAAUAGCUUUUCUGGUUAUUCUAGAUUAAAUUUGAGAAAUUAUUACUUUCUAAAAACUAAUUCAACUUGCAUUGUUAUUUUUAUAUCAGCAGACCUCCAAACCAAGAUAAACCUGCCAAUAAGUACAGCAAAGGAAACCAUGAGUAAGUUCAUCCACUCUUUCUUGAUGGCUAAAGUCACUGUGUGGAAUUACUGUAAUAUGUUGGAUUCAAAAGUUUAAAUAUAUAUAUGUAGCUGGGAAUUAUUUUCAAAGUUUAUUGGUACAUCAGUAACUCAUAGUGGUAGAUCCUGGAUGAUACUAAAAGCUUACUCGUUCACUCACAACACAAAACUGCUAUUCUGAAUAUUUGUAAAAACUAAAACCUUAAAAAGUUCCACCUUUUGUGAUCAUAUCAUGCAGAAUGUUAAUGUUAAAUUAAUUAAAUAGCAAAAAUCUACUAACAAUUUAUCUAAUUUAGUGCCAUGUUCUUUCCAUUAUUGCAAUAUAGACAUGGAUUAAAUCAUUAUCAAUAUAAACAUGGAUUAAAUCACAGCUAUUUUUAGAUUUAAAUGGAAUAAGAAUAAGAAAAAAAAAAAACUUGACUUACAACCCCAAUUCCAGAAAAGUUAGGAUGUUUUGUAAAAUGCAAUAAAAUAUGUGAUUUUUUUAUUCUCUUUAACUUU
ensembl:lncRNA